rnacentral:rRNA from 1 species
UACGUAGGGUGCAAGCGUUGUCCGGAAUUAUUGGGCGUAAAGAGCGUGUAGGCGGCCCGACCAGUCCGCUGUGAAAGUCCAGGGCUCAACCCUGGAAUGCCGGUGGAUACUGUCGGGCUAGAGUCCGGAAGGGGCGAGUGGAAUUCCUGGUGUAGCGGUGAAAUGCGUAGAUAUCAAGUGGAACACCAGUGGCGAAGGCGAGUCUCUGGACAUUUCCUGACGCUGAGGCACGAAAGCCAGGGGAGCAAACGGG